rnacentral:rRNA from 1 species
GAUCAUGGCUCAGGAUGAACGCUAGCUAACAGGCUUAACACAUGCAAGUCGAGGGGCAGCAUGAACUUAGCUUGCUAAGUUUGAUGGCGACCGGCGCACGGGUGAGUAACACGUAUCCAACCUUCCGUUUACUCAGGGAUAGCCUUUCGAAAGAAAGAUUAAUACCUGAUAGUAUGGUGAGAUUGCAUGAUAACACCAUUAAAGAUUUAUUGGUAAACGAUGGGGAUGCGUUCCAUUAGGUAGUAGGCGGGGUAACGGCCCACCUAGCCUGCGAUGGAUAGGGGUUCUGAGAGGAAGGUCCCCCACAUUGGAACUGAGACACGGUCCAAACUCCUACGGGAGGCAGCAGUGAGGAAUAUUGGUCAAUGGGCGAGAGCCUGAACCAGCCAAGUAGCGUGAAGGAUGAAGGUCCUACGGAUUGUAAACUUCUUUUAUACGGGAAUAAAGUUUCCUACGUGCAGGAUUUUGUAUGUACCGUAUGAAUAAGCAUCGGCUAACUCCGUG